rnacentral:lncRNA from 1 species
UCUCUGCGGCCAUCAUGGGAUCGUGCUCUUCUCGCUCGUUGAGCUGGUCCCUUCGCCGUGGCCUGCUGGUGACGGUCUGGAGCGAUGCUGAGCCCGGGCCCAGCCUCUCAGCUCCGCCUUGUGCGCUGCACAGAUCUAGGGGAGCCUGACGGGACGUUGACAACGUGGAAUAGGAGCAGUAUCAUCCCACCAUGAGGUAAGGGUUUCUGGAGUAUCAGGUGGGGUUCAUAGACAAGAGGCUGUGUAGCUUUCGCUCCAGGGACUCCCAACAUACCCUGGCCCAUGUGGGCACAUACAUAAAUUUAAGACGUGUCUCCAUUUAGUGGCUGGAACUACUAGUUGGAGGACAGCAGAAAGCUUGACUGCUGUGAUGAGAUGACUAAGUAGGAAGUGCCGUCAGAGUCGAUAACUGACGAUAACUGCUCCUGGCUGACUGCAGUCAAGCCCACACCGGUGGCUGGGGUUUAGGUUUAACUUGGGCUGGACUUUUAACAACUGCUGUACUUCUAGGUUGGGGAUUUAAGAGUGGAAGAUUGCCAACAGCUGUGGCCUCCCAUGAGGGUGUCCCCUUUCAAGUUCUCAGAACGGACGCAGGACUGCAGAUCUGUGCUGGCAGCAGCAGAGGCUAUAUUCCCAGAGGAGUCUCCAGCCGGCCUGAAAGCAAAUAUCCUAAGUGACAUGUCUGCCAAUUUUGUUCUGGGUGGGCACAUUUGGUAAUCCUGUCUGUACCACAGGAUCUUCUAUGCCUUUUAAAAAUAAACAUUUGUUUAUAAACCAGA